rnacentral:rRNA from 1 species
UACGUAGGGGGCAAGCGUUGUCCGGAAUCAUUGGGCGUAAAGAGCGUGUAGGCGGUCCGGUAAGUCGGCUGUGAAAGUCCAGGGCUCAACCCUGGGAUGCCGGUCGAUACUGCCGGACUAGAGUUCGGAAGAGGCGAGUGGAAUUCCCGGGUGUAGCGGUGAAAUGCGCAGAUAUCAGGAGGAACACCGGUGGCGAAGGCGGGAUCUCUGGGCAGUAACUGACGCUGAGGAGCGAAAGCGUGGGGAGCGAGCAGG